CCUGGAAGUCUGCAGCUUAGGAUAGAUAAACCACUGCGUCUCAUUUUUCUCCUCAUUGAAGAAGAGUCUAGAACACUUCGUUGAGUUCUUGCUCUCGAAGGUGUGUGGCUUGAUCAGAUAUCUUACAGUCCUAGCUCAUGUUCGUAAGCAUAUUUCUGGCCUGCACUGUGGUUCUUCAGUCAAGCCAGUAGCUGCAGUCAGCUGUGUCUUUUGCCCACACUAGAGCAGCUUCUCUGACAUUCCCGCCUUGGAGAAAUCCUCCAGGACUUAGGUUUGUGCUUUCUGGUUGCCACUUUGCCAGACUGAUAAACACAAGGGGAAGCCUUAAUGGCCCUGGCACUAGUCCAGAGCUGUCACAGCUGAUUUCAGUGUGGCAGGAAUGAGUGGCUACCAGAUGUGGUAGAAAGUUGGCAGGCACCACAGUGGAACAAGUCAGGGAAGAGUAUUGGUAUGGGGCUUUCAGCUUUUUUCUUCCUACAUUAAAACU
rnacentral:lncRNA from 1 species